AGUGAACGCUGGCGGUAGGCCUAACACAUGCAAGUCGAACGGCAGCACAGUAAGAGCUUGCUCUUACGGGUGGCGAGUGGCGGACGGGUGAGGAAUACAUCGGAAUCUACUUUUUCGUGGGGGAUAACGUAGGGAAACUUACGCUAAUACCGCAUACGACCUACGGGUGAAAGCAGGGGAUCUUCGGACCUUGCGCGAUUGAAUGAGCCGAUGUCGGAUUAGCUAGUUGGCGGGGUAAAGGCCCACCAAGGCGACGAUCCGUAGCUGGUCUGAGAGGAUGAUCAGCCACACUGGAACUGAGACACGGUCCAGACUCCUACGGGAGGCAGCAGUGGGGAAUAUUGGACAAGGGGCGCAAGCCUGAUCCAGCCAUACCGCGUGGGUGAAGAAGGCCUUCGGGUUGUAAAGCCCUUUUGUUGGGAAAGAAAAGCAGCAGGUUAAUACCCCGCUGUUCUGACGGUACCCAAAGAAAAGGCACCGGCUAACUUCGU
rnacentral:rRNA from 1 species